rnacentral:rRNA from 1 species
UACGUAGGGUGCAAGCGUUAUCCGGAAUUAUUGGGCGUAAAGAGCUCGUAGGCGGUUUGUCGCGUCUGCUGUGAAAACCGGAGGCUCAACCUCCGGCCUGCAGUGGGUACGGGCAAACUAGAGUAUGGCAGGGGAGACUGGAAUUCCUGGUGUAGCGGUGAAAUGCGCAGAUAUCAGGAGGAACACCGGUGGCGAAGGCGGGUCUCUGGGCCAUAACUGACGCUGAGGAGCGAAAGCGUGGGGAGCGAACAGG